rnacentral:rRNA from 1 species
AACGAACGCUGGCGGCAGGCUUAACACAUGUAAGUCGAGCGCCCCGCAAGGGGAGCGGCAGACGGGUGAGUAACGCGUGGGAACGUACCCUUUGCUACGGAAUAGCUCCGGGAAACUGGAAUUAAUACCGUAUGUGCCCUACGGGGGAAAGAUUUAUCGGCAAAGGAUCGGCCCGCGUUGGAUUAGCUAGUUGGUGGGGUAAUGGCCUACCAAGGCGACGAUCCAUAGCUGGUCUGAGAGGAUGAUCAGCCACAUUGGGACUGAGACACGGCCCAAACUCCUACGGGAGGCAGCAGUGGGGAAUAUUGGACAAUGGGCGCAAGCCUGAUCCAGCCAUGCCGCGUGAGUGAUGAAGGCCUUAGGGUUGUAAAGCUCUUUCACCGGAGAAGAUAAUGACGGUAUCCGGAGAAGAAGCCCCGACUAACUUCGUGCCAGCCGCCGCAGUAACAC